GGGUGAUGAUUAAACUGAGACACUUGACUUCACCCAAAAUCAGUAAUCAAAGUAACUCCUGUCAGACUUUAAAACUGGCGAGUGAAAAGCCAAUGGAACAUGGGAUUUUUUUAUAGCAGUGAAAAAUCCAAGUAGAAGUAGCUACAAAAGAGUAAAACAUGUUUUAACCUUUACCUUUGGAACAGACACCCAGGAUUGCAACACGCUGUCUACAAGAAAACCCAAGAGUUUGCGAAAUCAAGGAAAUUGGCUCCAGGGCUGACAAAUCCUCAAGGAAAGGAGCAGCUCUGACAGACACCACUCUCUCCUGUCCACCAUUUUGUUUCCAGGACUUUGUAGAGACAACCCCUCCUGCAGCUUUGUGGGGAAUCACCAGAGUCAGGAGGACAAUAGCCCAAAGUGGGAGCCCCUGGGCCAGAAAGGAGGCCGUAGAGGCUGCCAUGGCAAUGAAGUGUGGCAGAGGCAGGAGUCCACCACCAGCCCUAAUGGCAGCAGCAGUGGUCAGCGGUGAGUCAAGGUCGAUGCCUUGUGAGUGGUGGAGAUGCCUGGUGUGCCUGGGUGGGUCUUAGCCCAGUGCAGGCGGAGAGCGAGCCCUCUUGGAGAAGCCCACCUUGGAGCAUCUGCAGGCCCAUGGCCGAAAAAAGGAUUGUAAUGUUUCACAUUUUAACUUUAUUUCUUUAGUUUUUUUAAUACUUUAUGUUGAGAAGACUAUGUGCUGAACGUCUUAACUUAUUUCUUUUUUUUAAUUUUUGUACUGAAGAGUUUGUACCUCGGAACUUUGUACCCAAGAUGGCGCCAUGUGAAUCACCACUGUAUGUUUUUCAUUGUGCUCUUGUACCCAAUACUGAGAACAUGUAACAAUAAAAACUA